rnacentral:rRNA from 1 species
GACGAACGCUGGCGGCGUGCUUAACACAUGCAAGUCGAACGGAAAGGCCCUGCUUUUGUGGGGUGCUCGAGUGGCGAACGGGUGAGUAACACGUGAGUAACCUGCCCUUGACUUUGGGAUAACUUCGGGAAACUGGGGCUAAUACCGGAUAGGAGCUCCUGCUGCAUGGUGGGGGUUGGAAAGUUUCGGCGGUUGUGGAUGGACUCGCGGCUUAUCAGCUUGUUGGUGGGGUAGUGGCUUACCAAGGCUUUGACGGGUAGCCGGCCUGAGAGGGUGACCGGCGACAUGGGGACUGAGAUACGGCGCAGACUCCUACGGGAGGCAGCAGUGGGGAGUAUUGCACAAUGGGCGGACGCCUGAUGCAGCAACGCCGCGUGCGGGAUGACGGCCUUCGGGUUGUAAACCGCUUUCGCCUGUGACGAAGCGUGAGUGACGGUAAUGGGUAAAGAAGCACCGGCUAACUACGUG